rnacentral:rRNA from 1 species
AACGAACGCUGGCGGCAUGCCUAACACAUGCAAGUCGAACGAGACCUUCGGGUCUAGUGGCGCACGGGUGCGUAACGCGUGGGAAUCUGCCCCUUGGUUCGGAAUAACAGCGAGAAAUUGCUGCUAAUACCGGAUAAUGACGUAAGUCCAAAGAUUUAUCGCCAAGGGAUGAGCCCGCGUAGGAUUAGCUAGUUGGUGUGGUAAAGGCGCACCAAGGCGACGAUCCUUAGCUGGUCUGAGAGGAUGAUCAGCCACACUGGGACUGAGACACGGCCCAGACUCCUACGGGAGGCAGCAGUGGGGAAUAUUGGACAAUGGGCGAAAGCCUGAUCCAGCAAUGCCGCGUGAGUGAUGAAGGCC